rnacentral:rRNA from 1 species
GUGCCAGCCGCCGCGGUAAUACGUAGGUGGCAAGCGUUGUCCGGAUUUACUGGGCGUAAAGGAUGUGUAGGCGGAUAUUUAAGUGAGAUGUGAAAUCCCCGGGCUUAACUUGGGGGCUGCAUUUCAAACUGGAUGUCUGGAGUGCAGGAGAGGAAAGCAGAAUUCCUAGUGUAGCGGUGAAAUGCGUAGAGAUUAAGAAGAAAACCAGGGGCUAAGGCGGGUUUCU